rnacentral:rRNA from 1 species
AGAGUUUGAUCCUGGCUCAGAACGAACGCUGGCGGCAUGCCUCAUACAUGCAAGUCGAACGAAGGCUUCGGCCUUAGUGGCGCACGGGUGAGUAGCGCGUGGGAACCUACCCUUUUGUGGGGGAUAACCGAGGGAAACUUCGGCUAAUACCGCAUACGCCGGCCGUCUAGAGAUAGAUUGCCGGGAAAGAUUUAUCGCAGAAGGAUGGGCCCGCGUCGGAUUAGCUAGUUGGUGGGGUAAUGGCCUACCAAGGCGAUGAUCCGUAGCUGGUCUGAGAGGAUGAUCAGCCACACUGGGACUGAGACACGGCCCAGACUCCUACGGGAGGCAGCAGUAGGGAAUAUUGGACAAUGGGCGAAAGCCUGAUCCAGCAAUGCCGCGUGAGUGAGGAAGGCCUUAGGGUUGUAAAGCUCUUUCGGCGGGGACGAUGAUGACGGUACCCGCAGAAGAAGCCCCGGCUAACUUCGUGCCAGCAGCCGCGGUAAUACGAAGGGGGCGAGCGUUGUUCGGAAUUACUGGGCGUAAAGGGCGCGUAGGCGGCCAUCUUUGUCAGGUGUGAAAGCCCUGGGCUCAACCCAGGAACUGCACUUGGGACGGGGUGGCUUGAGUUCGGGAGAGGAGAGUGGAAUUCCCAGUGUAGAGGUGAAAUUCGUAGAUAUUGGGAAGAACACCGGUGGCGAAGGCGGCUCUCUGGACCGUAACUGACGCUGAGGCGCGAAAGCGUGGGGAGCAAACAGGAUUAGAUACCCUGGUAGUCCACGCCGUAAACGAUGUGCGCUGGAUGUUGGGCGACUUUGUCGCUCAGUGUCGUAGCUAACGCGAUAAGCGCACCGCCUGGGGAGUACGGCCGCAAG